AGUGAACGCUGGCGGUAGGCCUAACACAUGCCAGUCGAACGGCAGCACAGUAAGAGCUUGCUCUUACGGGUGGCGAGUGGCGGACGGGUGAGGAAUACAUCGGAAUCUACUUUUUCGUGGGGGAUAACGUAGGGAAACUUACGCUAAUACCGCAUACGACCUACGGGUGAAAGCAGGGGAUCUUCGGACCUUGCGCGAUUGAAUGAGCCGAUGUCGGAUUAGCUAGUUGGCGGGGUAAAGGCCCACCAAGGCGACGAUCCGUAGCUGGUCUGAGAGGAUGGUCGGCCACACUGGAGCUGGGACGCGGUCCAGACUCCUACGGGAGGCAGCAGUGGGGAAUAUUGGACAGUGGGCGCAAGCCUGAUCCAGCCAUACCGCGUGGGUGGAGAAGGCCUUCGGGUUGUAAAGCCCUUUUGUUGGGAAAGAACAGCAGCAGGUUGAGACGCCGCUGUUCUGACGGUACCCAAAGAAUAAGCACCGGCUAACUUCGUG
rnacentral:rRNA from 1 species